rnacentral:rRNA from 1 species
AUUGAACGCUGGCGGUAUGCUUAACACAUGCAAGUCGAACGGUAACAGGCCUUCGGGCGCUGACGAGUGGCGGACGGGUGAGUAACGCGUAGGAAUCUGCCUGUUAGUGGGGGACAACGUGGGGAAACUCACGCUAAUACCGCAUACGCCCUACGGGGGAAAGCGGGGGCUCUUCGGACCUCGCGCUAACAGAUGAGCCUGCGUGGGAUUAGCUAGUUGGUAGGGUAAAGGCCUACCAAGGCGACGAUCCCUAGCUGGUCUGAGAGGACGAUCAGCCACACUGGGACUGAGACACGGCCCAGACUCCUACGGGAGGCAG